AUGGGACAUGAAAAACUUAUUUCCGUUCAAUGGUGGCAGAGAGAUAUUCUUGUCCCGAACUCAGGAGCUGCUGGACAUUUCCACCGUAAUGGAGCGUAUCAGCAGAGGUGGACGACAGUAAUAGGAGAACUGGAACAAGCGCCGGAAGCAGCCGUGAACAUAGAUGCACAGUUCUGCGAGGAAGAAACCAGGGUGUACAAAGGAAGGGAGAUCUCACCCCAGGUCUCCAAGCUAUUGACUGGGAAGAUGAACCCCAGGCAACCGGGUUGGAUUGGUUUGCACAUAACCCGUAAAACUUACCGAUUUUAA
rnacentral:rRNA from 1 species